GGGGCGCGCUGCUAUACAUGCAGUCGAGCGGACAGAUGGGAGCUUGCUCCCUGAUGUUAGCGGCGGACGGGUGAGUAACACGUGGGUAACCUGCCUGUAAGACUGGGAUAACUCCGGGAAACCGGGGCUAAUACCGGAUGCUUGUUUGAACCGCAUGGUUCAAACAUAAAAGGUGGCUUCGGCUACCACUUACAGAUGGACCCGCGGCGCAUUAGCUAGUUGGUGAGGUAACGGCUCACCAAGGCAACGAUGCGUAGCCGACCUGAGAGGGUGAUCGGCCACACUGGGACUGAGACACGGCCCAGACUCCUACGGGAGGCAGCAGUAGGGAAUCUUCCGCAAUGGACGAAAGUCUGACGGAGCAACGCCGCGUGAGUGAUGAAGGUUUUCGGAUCGUAAAGCUCUGUUGUUAGGGAAGAACAAGUACCGUUCGAAUAGGGCGGUACCUUGACGGUACCUAACCAGAAAGCCACGGCUAACUACGUGCCAGCAGCCGCGGUAAUACGUAGGUGGCAAGCGUUGUCCGGAAUUAUUGGGCGUAAAGGGCUCGCAGGCGGUUUCUUAAGUCUGAUGUGAAAGCCCCCGGCUCAACCGGGGAGGGUCAUUGGAAACUGGGGAACUUGAGUGCAGAAGAGGAGAGUGGAAUUCCACGUGUAGCGGUGAUAUGCGUAAAGAUGUGGAGGAACACCAGUGACGAAGGCGACUCUCUGGUCUGUAACUGACGCUGACGAGCGAAAGCGUGCGGAGCGAACCGGAUUACAUACCCUGGUAGUCCACGCCGUAAACGAUGACUGCUAAGUGUUAGGGGGAUUCUCGCCCCUUAUUGCUGCAGCUAACGCAUUAACCACUACGGCCUGGGGCAGUACGGUCUGAGGGACUGAAACUCCAAAGGAAAUUGACUGUUGACCCGCUAAAACCCGGUGG
rnacentral:rRNA from 1 species